rnacentral:sRNA from 1 species
GGUGUAGCCGGUGUGGUGGAGCUCGA